GAUGAACGCUGGCGGCGUGCCUAAUACAUGCAAGUCGAGCGAACGGACGAGAAGCUUGCUUCUCUGAUGUUAGCGGCGGACGGGUGAGUAACACGUGGAUAACCUACCUAUAAGACUGGGAUAACUUCGGGAAACCGGAGCUAAUACCGGAUGAUAUUUUGAACCGCAUGGUUCAAAAGUGAAAGACGGUCUUGCUGUCACUUAUAGAUGGAUCCGCGCUGCAUUAGCUAGUUGGUAAGGUAACGGCUUACCAAGGCAACGAUGCAUAGCCGACCUGAGAGGGUGAUCGGCCACACUGGAACUGAGACACGGUCCAGACUCCUACGGGAGGCAGCAGUAGGGAAUCCUCCGCGAUGGGCGAAAGCCUGACGGAGCAACGCCGCGUGAGUGAUGAAGGUCUUCGGAUCGUAAAACCCUGUUAUUAGGGAAGAACAUAUGUGUAAGUAACUGUGCACAUCUUGACGGUACCUAAUCAGAAAGCCACGGCUAACUACGUG
rnacentral:rRNA from 1 species